GCCCACCUGCAUAUUUAUACCAAAACAACCCAAAGAGCUGCCAACACAAUAUUUACAUAUACAUUAAACUACUUCAAAAUAAACUUCAUCCAACUUCAAAAUAAAAUUCAAUCAACUUCAAAAUAAACUAAAAUACGAUCAAACAAUUCCAAAAAUAUAGAAGUCUAAAAUGUAAAAUAGGUAUAACUACUCCUCAUCACCCUCACUCUUCUUAUUAGACUUAUCAUUGUCAUCACCCUUCUGAUCAGAUCCAUCAUUGUUGGCAGCCGAACAUGGAGGAAGAUUUUUUCCUGAUUCAAAAAGAAGAGUUAGUUGGGCCUGAGAAAUAUUGUUGUCAGAUUUGAUACUUAAGCAAUCCAACUGCAACACAAUUUAGAGUGUUGACCCUCCUUGAACAAAGGACGACUACAAUCACACAAUUGUUUAUAAAAGAUGUUUGCAUCAUUGGGAGCUUCUUCUACAUUUUCCCCAAAUUCAAAAUCAGAAUGCAUCCCAAAAGAAUCAUCAAUCAUAUCUGACGUUCUAGAACCUUGGACAUAAUUAUGCUCUAUAGAUCUAUUACUUUCACCGACAACAAAGUUAUUAAACACAGUGUCUCUUUCAAUUAAACUUUAUUUGAACCAAUUACACCAACUAAACCACAUUAUUUAUUUGAACUUGUUUAAACAACUGAACAACUUACUUAAUUCCAACAACUAAAUUCACCAACUAAACCACAUUAUUUAUUUGAACUUAUUUAAAUAACUUAACAACUUUUUAACUCUAACUAGUUUUGACUUAAUUCAACCAACUAAAUCCACCAACUAAAUCACAUUAUUUGAACUUAUUUAAACAACUUAACAACUUUUUAACUCUAACUAGUUUUGACUUAAUUCCAACAAUAAAUCCACCAACUAAACCACAUUAUUUAUUUGAACUUAUUUAAACAACUAAACAAUUUUUUUAACUCAAACUAGUUUUGACUUAAUUCCAACAAUAAAUCCACCAACUAAACCACAUUAUUUAUUUGAACUUAUUUAAAGAACUAAACAAUAUUAACUGUAACUAAUUUUGAAUUAAUUCCAACAACUAAACCCGCCUACUAAACCACAUUAUUUAUUAGAACUUAUUUAAACAACUUUAACUCUAAGAUUCAAACAACCAACUCAUAGUUAAUGACUUCAUGGGGUGUUCUACUAGAGGAUCAAAUCAACUUGCUAGAAAUACUAAUUACAUUAAUGUAUAUCAAACUAUCAUAUCUUACUUUAAUUAAAUGUCACUAUUAUUAUCAAAUGGUAAUAUGGAGAUUAAGUGACUUAUUCUCACACAUUUAUUCAGUUCUAUUGAGUUUAAAUGAUUCAUUUGUGUACAGUUUUGCCCAUAUUAUUAAUGGAAAACAAUUGAACCAAAGCUGUUAGGUAAAGAGGCUUAGAUUUUUAUUUUUUGAGAUUUUACAUAUUCAGUUUGGUGUUAAGGGAAUUUUCGGGUAAUUAUUGAGUCUUCGGUUACGGUAAAGCUUUUCAGUGAAGCUGAUAUGCUUCCAUAGCAAACUCAAAACUGCUAAUUUGUGGUGGCCCUCAUUUUGUGAGUAAUGUUUACAAUUGUGUUGACAUGAAUUGAAUGCCUUCUACUCCUUCACACUUUUAUACAACACAGAGGCAAUAAUCUAACAAAGUAAAUCUAGGGUAAAUUCUUGUUGGUUUGGUAGCUUUAAUCCCAAAUGCUGCUAAAGCAAUAGUGGAUUUUGACAAAGCCUUAAGCAUGUUUAAAUAAAUUUAUAAACUAAAAUAAAUUUAGUGCAUAAUCCCUAGAUAAAUGUAGUGAUUAGUUACUGAUACCAUUUUUUAGAUGACGAACUGGUAGUUGAGGAAUUCAUAAAAGUGAUAGUGUGGUAGAUGAUAGUGUGAUAGGUGGGUAUUUUAUUUUAAAAUUUUUAUUAUAAUAUUCUUUGCUAAGUGUCUUAAUUUUGAUUUUUUCUAUUAAGAUUUGAUACUCUGUAUCUUGUAUUUUAAUUAAUUCUAGCUGUAUAUAUUUACAUAAUUAAUUUUUUUACAAGUUUAAACUAUUGAAAUUGAUUUUUGGCAUUUCCUUUUUAAGGUAAUCAUUAUGAUUUUGAAAUCUGAUCUUAAAUUUUUUUAAUCAAACUUUUAACUAUAUGCUAUCUCACAGCAUUAAGCCAAUAUCUUUUUCUCAUACCAUAAACAUUACUUACAAAGUUAAGCACAUAAUAGACAAAUUCUUUAUACAAAGCUAUUUCCACGAUUGAAUGCAUUAUUUUACUAAUACAAUAUUCUGAUAAUUUUAACAACGUUUCAAAAAUAACCUUUUUUGCUGGUGGCUGGUGCUAUCCUCGCCGAAGAAGAGGAGAGAGGGGCGAGGGGCUUCACCCGGUGAUUUCUCCUUGGCCGGCUGUUCUCACCGGUGUUGGAGCGCUCUGGCGGCUGCUGUCUCUUGCGCUGCUACUUGCUGUGUUGUUGUUAUCUCCGCCGGUCGGAGCGAAAUAGAGAAGGGAAGAGAGGGAGAGGGAGAGGAGGAGCAGCAACCCCACUGAUGCUUGCCGGCGGAGAGAGGAGAGGAGGGGAGGUGAGGGGAGCGAGAAGCGAAGGGAGCAGAGGAGGCGGCGAUGCUUCCACUGGUUUCGCCAGAGCCAAGCGGCGAUGAGACAGAGGAGAGAAAGGAGAUAGAGACGACACUUUCUGGAGAAAGAAGAAUGAAGAGAAACGUUAGGGUUAGGGAUCUUAAG
rnacentral:lncRNA from 1 species